rnacentral:rRNA from 1 species
CAGUCGCCGCGGGAAUGCGAAGGGGGCUAGCGUUGCUCGGAAUCACUGGGCGUAAAGGGUGCGUAGGCGGGUCUUUAAGUCAGGGGUGAAAUCCUGGAGCUCAACUCCAGAACUGCCUUUGAUACUGAAGAUCUUGAGUUCGGGAGAGGUGAGUGGAACUGCGAGUGUAGAGGUGAAAUUCGUAGAUAUUCGCAAGAACACCAGUGGCGAAGGCGGCUCACUGGCCCGAUACUGACGCUGAGGCACGAAAGCGUGGGGAGCAAACAGGAUUAGAUACCCCCGUAGUCCCUGUCUCUUAUAC